CUUCUAAUUACUAACAGCACUAAAAGGCCAAAAAUCAUCAGGAUCCUGGACAUCAUCUAGCAUUAAAGUGCUCAAAAAGACAAAUCCAACGAACCCAACUCAAUGAGUUUCCACCGUUUC